rnacentral:rRNA from 1 species
UGGGGAAUCUUGGACAAUGGGCGCAAGCCUGAUCCAGCCAUGCCGCGUGGAUGAUGAAGGCCUUAGGGUUGUAAAAUCCUUUCGCCGAGGACGAUAAUGACGGUACUCGGAGAAGAAGCUCCGGCUAACUUCGUGCCAGCAGCCGCGGUAAUACGAAGGGGGCUAGCGUUGUUCGGAUUUACUGGGCGUAAAGCGCGUGUAGGCGGGUCGUUAAGUUGGGGGUGAAAUCCCGAGGCUCAACCUCGGAACUGCCUCCAAAACUUCCAGCCUGGACUCAAGUAGAGGCAAGUGGAAUUGCGAGUGUAGAGGUGAAAUUCGUAGAUAUUCGCAGGAACACCAGUGGCGAAGGCGACUUGCUGGACUUGUAGUGACGCUGAGACGCGAAAGCGUGGGGAGCAAACAGGAUUAGAUACCCAUGUAGUCCCUGAGCGGGCUGGCAAGGCGCAU